rfam:Rattus norvegicus chromosome 10, whole genome shotgun sequence.
GGGGAUUUGGCUCAGUGGUAGAGCACUUGCCUAGCAAGCACAAGGCCCUGGGUUCAGUCCCCA